rnacentral:rRNA from 1 species
GAUGAACGCUGGCGGCGUGCCUAAUACAUGCAAGUCGAGCGAACAGACGAGGAGCUUGCUCCUCUGACGUUAGCGGCGGACGGGUGAGUAACACGUGUAUAACCUACCUAUAAGACUGGUAUCACUUCGGGAAACCGGAUCUAAUACCGGAUAAUAUAUUGAACCGCAUGGUUCAAUAGUGAAAGACGGCUUUGCGGUCACUAAUCGCUGGAUCCGAGCCGGAUGGGCUGGUUGGUAAGUUAACGGCCUACCAAGGGAAGGAGGCGUAGCCGAACGGACAGAGGGAUAGGCCACACGGGAGCUGGAACACGGUCCAGACUCCUACGAGAGGCAGCAGUAGGGAAUCUUCGGCAAUGGGCGGAAGCCUGACGGAGCAACGCCGCGUGAGUGAUGGAGGUCUUCGGAUCGUAAAACUCUGUUACUAGGGAAGAACCAAUGUGUAAUUAGAUGUGCAGGUAUUGACGGUAACUGGUAAGAAAGCAACGGCUAACUACGUG